GGAAGACUAGUUGGUCCACUUGCACCAACACAUCUUCAAGCACUCCCUUGGGAUAGACAACAGAUCAGUCGGCCAAUUGGAUUACUAUGCUGGUGCCCUUGAGUGUUCCUGCAUUCAACAAGUUAAAAAUGGAAAGGGGCAUGACAUUAAUUGAAGCUCCAAGGUCACACAUGGCCUUCUUUAUCCCCACAUUGCCUAUUUUGCAUGAAACAGCGAACAUCCCUCUAUCCUUGCACUUGGUUGGGAGCUUUCUUUGAAUGACAGCUGAAA
rnacentral:lncRNA from 1 species